GAUGAACGCUGGCGGCGUGCCUAAUACAUGCAAGUCGAGCGAACGGACGAGAUGCUUGUUUCACUGAUAUUAGCGGCGGACGGGUGAGUAACACGUGGAUAACCUACCUAUAAGACUGGGAUAACUUCGGGAAACCGGUGCUAAUACCGGAUAAUAAUUUGAAACGCAUGGUUCAAAAGUGAAAGACGGUCUUGCUUUCACUUAUAGAUGGAUCCGCUCUGAUUUAGCUAGUUGGUAAGGUAACGGCUUACCAAGGCAACGAUGCUUAGCCGACCUGAAGGGGUGACCGGCAACACGGGAACGGAGACAGGGUCUAGACUCUUACGGGGGGAGGAGGUAGGGAAUCUUCGGAAAGGAGGGAAGUCCGGACGGAGCAACGCGGCGUGGGUGAGGAAGGUCUUCGGAUCGUAAAACUCUGUUAUUGGGGAAGAAGAUAUGGGUAAGUAACUGUGCACAACGUGACGGUACCUAAUCAGAAAGCCACGGCUAACUACGUG
rnacentral:rRNA from 1 species